GCCCCAGAAAGCUGCCUUCUACCAUGUGAGGACACAUCUAUGAGCCAGGAAACGGGCUCUCACCAGACACUGAAUCCGCCAGCACCUUGAUCUUGGACUUCCCAGCCUACAGAAUGGGUCUUGCUCUGUUGCCAGGCUUGAUUGAAGUGGUAUGAUUUCAGCUCACUGCAACCUCUACCUCUCAGUCAGGCCUGGUGGCAUGCGUCUGUAGUCCUGCUACUUAGGAGGCUGAGGUGGGAGGACUGCUUGAGCCUGAGAGUUGAGACUUCAGUGAGCCAUAAUCAUGCCACUGUACUCCAGCAUGGGUAACAGACUGAGACCCUCUCUCAAAAAAAACAAAAACAAAAAAACAACCAAGGCAGUAUGAAUUCGGAGAAGGAAACAUCAAUGAAGACUGGAAUAGUACAACAGAACUCAAGAUCUUUCAGAUUCUUUCAAGACUCAAGCCUAGGUUAUUACCUGCACUUAAAACCCACUGACAGAGACAAAGAUGAAGGAAAAACAAAUCACCCCUUGGGAAUUACAUACCUGAUCUCUCUGAUUUCCAAAUUUCCCAAAGCUACACACACGAGAUUAUACACAUCAGGCACUGGAACUAUCUGUAAUACUGGAACCUAAAUAAAACAA
rnacentral:antisense_RNA from 1 species